GCAUUAUGAUUUGUGUAUAUCAGUAUUAUGAUUAUGAUUGCUUAUUUCUGCAUAAUAAUACUAUUUUGCAUUAUCAUGCCAACCUUGAAUUGAGAGUUUUAAAACAACUUUCAGUGACUGCUAUUUCUGGCUUUUCUCCUGACAGGUUAAAAGAUUAAGAGUUUCUCUAACCACGGCUACCCUCUAAAAGUCACAUUUUCCCCCUUUUUCCAGUCACUCUCUGAAAGAGAACGAAGUAAUUUUCUGAAGGGAAGCUGCAGAAUAUGGAAAACAUAUAUUGGAGCUACAUGGACGUUUACUAUGUGAAACAAAGAUAUACAUCACUGUAUACUGCAAAAGGCAUGCAGUCUAAUGUUGGAUGAUCUAGAAAAACUUUUUGAAGAUUCUUUGCAGUUAGGAUAAACCAAU
rnacentral:lncRNA from 1 species